rnacentral:lncRNA from 1 species
CUUCGGGAGAUGUCAAACAUGAUCCGUGAGCUGAAGUCGGCAGGUCACUCCCUUACUGAUGAACAGUAAGUUCAGGCUGUUAUAAGGUCUCUUCCUAAUAAUUGGGAGCAUAUGAAGAUCAAUAUGACGCAUAAUGAGAACAUCGUCACUUUUGAUGAUAUUGCGCGUCAUUUGGAAUUAGAGGAUGAGCGCCUAGAGGCUGCGAGAUCCUCUACCCAUGCUUAUGUUGCUGAAUUGAGUUUGCGCAAAGCUUUGGGUUUCAAGCGCAAGAGGAAUCUUCAGUUCAACAAUAAAGGGAAGAUGACUGAUCAGGGACCCAAGAGGGCUAAGACCUUCCGACGCAAGAAGUGUGGUGGGAAGAAGGACAAGGCCGAGAUGGAGUGCCACAAUUGUAGCAAGAUGGGUCACUUUGCUCGUGAAUGCACUGAGCCGAAAAAAGGUACCUUAUUACUCCAUUACUUUGAGUAAUGCUUUUAUUUCUAGUAUUGUAAUGCUUGCUGAAUCUCAUCCAAUGUGGACUGUAGAUUCAGGAGCAACAGACCAUGUAACUAGAGACCGAGAAGCAUUUGUGGAGUAUCGUCGGAUAUCGCCUGGAAGAAGAUGGAUAUAUGUUGGGAAUAACUCAAGAGUUGAAGUGAAAGAUAUCGGCACAUGUAAAUUAAUCUUAUGUGGUGGUCGAAACUUAUUCCUGCAUGAUGUCCUUUAUGCUCCAGAUAUUCGACGAAACUUGGUCUCUGUAGUUGUUCUUCUUAACUUAGGUUAUGUAUUGAAUUUCCAUGGUGAUUGUGUUGACAUUUUGUAUGGAACAGUUUAUUAUGGUUCAGGUCGUGUAUUGAAUGGUUUUAUGGUGUUAGACAUUGACUAUGAUCAGUACAAUGUUAAUGUUGAUGGUUGUUUUUCUUUAAUUGCGUCUUCUAAUAACGUUGAGAUUGAUGCAAGUACUUGGUAUGCUAGAUUAGGUCACAUUGGAUUGCAAAGAAUGCAAAGAUUAGCUAGAGAAGGCCUUUUAGGGUCACUCACUAAUGUUAGUCUAUUCGUAUGUGAACAUUUUAUGGCGGGAAAAACAACUAGAAAACCAUUCGGUAAAGGGACUAGAGCUGAAUCUCCAUUGCAUCUCAUACAUUCUGACAUUUGUGGUCCUUUGAAUGUGAGGGCGAGGCAUGGAGCCUCAUAUUUCAUCACUUUCAUAGAUGACUUCACAUGUUUCGGUUAUGUCUUUCUGAUCUCCCAGAAGUCAGAAGCAUUAGAUUGCUUUAAACGAUAUAUAGCGAUGGUAGAGAAUCAGUUGAACAAAACAAUAAAGGCAUUUAGAACCAAUCGUGGACGUGAGUAUCUAUCGGAGCAAUUCAAGACUCUUUGUGAUGAAAAGGGAAUUGUACGACAAUUGACUAUUCCUGGUACUCCACAACAAAAUGUGGUAGCUGAGAGAAGGAAUAGAACUCUAUUGGAAAUGGUUAGGUCUAUGAUGGCGCAAGCAAAUUUACCUAUCUCCUAUUAGGGAGAUGCAUUAUUGACUGAUGCCUAUAUACUUAACCAUGUACCCUCAAAAUCGGUCACUUCCACCCCUUAUGAAUUAUGGACUGGUAGGAAACCAGACUAGAGUAGUUUACGUCCAUGAGGAUGUGCAGCUUAUAUUCAUGAUUCUUCCCAUAAACAUGGCAAAUUAGGUCCUAGAGAGAAGAAAUGUAUCUUUAUAAGAUAUUCCGAACACUCCAAAGGGUACGUGUUCAUAGGUGAAUAAGCUGAUGGAAGUGUGACCGAAAUGGAGUCACGAGAUGUCACGUUCUUGGAGAACGAUUUUCCUAAUAGAUGCGAGAUUGAUAAGGACUUCCAAUUAUAUGAGAUGGAAGAUCCUAAUAACAUACCCACUGAUAUUGUAGAGGGAAAUGAAGAUUUACCUCAACACACAAGACCUAGUGGGAGUGUUGCAUCACCUGAUGAAUUGAAUUCAAGAGAAAUUCAAUUGCGUAAAAGUAAUCAUAAAAGUAUUCCCUGUCGCCAUUUUGAGAUUGAAGGGGAAGCAUUUAUGAUCGCUCAAAAAGACGAUGCCGAGCCUAAGACUGUUCAAGAGGCUCUCUCGUCCUCUGAUAAGGAAGAAUGGAGAAAAGCUUUGGAAGAUGAGAUGGAGUCAAUGAGGGCAAACCAUGUCUAGGACUUGGUUGAUCUACCACCCAAUCGUAAGGCCAUUGGAAACAGAUGGGUCUUUAAGAUUAAGCGUAGGGCGGAUGGAUCUAUUGAAAAGUAUAAGGCUCACCUUGUGGCAAAAAGUUUUACUCAACAAGAGGGUAUAGACUAUGAGGAAACUUUUUUCACCAGUCAUAAGGUUUGCCUCAAUACGCCUUAUUCUAGCCAUCGUUGCACAUUUGGAUCUUGAAUUAUAUCAAAUGGAUGUAAAGACGGCAUUUCUCAAUGGAGAAUUAGAUGAGGAAAUUUAUAUGAAACAACCAAUAGGUUUCAUAGCUAAAGGUCAAGAGCAUAAAGUUUGUAAACUUCAUCGCUCAAUAUAUGGCCUUAAGCAAUCAUCUAGACAGUGGUAUCUUCGUUUUCAUCGAGCAAUAAUAACAUUUGGUUUCACGAUGAUCGAAGAAGAUCACUGUGUAUAUGUCAAGCGGUCCAAAGAUAAGUUUGUGAUUUUAUCACUUUAUGUGGACGAUAUUCUGUUGGCUGGAAAUGAGAAGGUUUUGGUUAUCACCAUAAAAGAAUGGUUGUCCUCCAAUUUUGAGAUGAAGGACAUAGGAGACGCUACUUAUAUAUUAGGAGUUAAGAUCAAAAGAGAUCGAUCGAGAAAACUCCUUACUUUAUCACAAGAGUCUUAUAUUAUGAAGAUUCUUGAGUGUUUCAAUGUGUAGCAUUGUAAUCCCAUUGAUACCCCUGUCAUAUAAGGUGAAGGCUUAAGUACUGAGAUGUGUCCUAAGACUUCAGAAGAAAUUAAAGUGAUGGAAACUGUUCCUUACGCUAGUGCAGUAGGAAGUCUGAUGUAUGUUAUGAUGUGUACUCGACCCGACAUAUGUUAUGCCGUGGGAUUGGUGAGCAGUGUAGAUGAUCAUUGAUUUAUGUAUUUGUGGACAGAUAUAUUGUACUUGUUUGUUUAUUAGUGAUUUGAUAUUUUAUCAAUAAGUACAAAUCCACUAUGAGACUAGCACAAACAUACAUAUUAUUGAAAAGUAUGUCAGUAGGCAAUGAUUGGCUCACUCACACGUGCAAUCGCCUCAAGUGCUUUAGAUAGCACGUUGGGAUGAGACGUUAUGUACAAAUAAAUGCUAAAGAGCAAGUUUGGUACAUAAAAUAUGUCGCCUUGAUUGAAGUCAAGAUGGGAUCUGUGAAUUGUUUAUAAUAAGAGCGAACAUGAUAGUCCCACAAUCAUGUAUGCCUGAAAGAUGCCGAAUGCGAGUACUUAAUUGGGCGCUAUAGAAAGCAAGCUGAUAUAGCACUCGGGCUAAACAUGAGUACAUGAGAAGCACGUGACUAUGUUUAGGCUAAGAUCCGUAUAGUGGAUAUAUUUAAUAAAUAACAUACGCUCUUAUAGAAAGAGUAAUCCACUAUAACAUGUAAUUCAUACUACAUGUGCAUUAUACGAUCAACAAGGGAAUGUGAGUAAAAUUAUCCCUAUUUACUCAUCGUGUGAGCCCUUGAGGUAAUUUAUAAUUUACCUCAAUUUUGUGCCCUAUGUUACUUCUGACUAUGUUCUCGAAGUGAAAGAUCAAUGUUGCUACUUUAGCAUGUUACGGGCAGACAUGAAUAGAUAUGGCCUAUGGGACAUGUCUAGGAAAGUAGUUGUUUUGAAAUUGAGAGAGACAUGAGUGCGAAGGAAGACUAUUGUUGUUUUACAUUUAUCACGUGUAUUUACUGGUCGACCAAUUAUAUCGCCCUAUGUGGUUGCGGAUGUAAUUGUAAAUACAUGGUGUUUUUUUUUUUUUUUUGAAUAGUCAAGUAUAGCCUUUAAGGGAUAGGUAUACUUGGACUGAUAUAACAAAAUAUGUCUGGGGCACUAUGAGACAUCGAUUGUUUAUUUCUUUUCGGGGUUGUAGCCAUUAUGUCAUCCCUAACAGGUGUAUAAUUAGAGCUCCCAAGUGUAGGUGUACUUACUGUUCGCACAGCUUAUUUGCCAGUAUGAAUUGCUUUGUAAAGUUGAUGAAUGUUAAAUGCCUUAUAUUCUUGAUAGAGCGCUAUCGAGUGGGAGAUGUAGUACUUUAGCUGGUACGUCCAUGAUGGGGUGCGAUUGGAAUGCACCGUUUCGUCUUGAUGCGUUACGAUGGAAAGACACUAAUGGAGGGGUAUGAAUGGAGACGUAUAAAAGGUUCUCGAACACAACCGUUGGUAUGGUUGGCAAUUCAUUCGCACCAAAUUUUCUCUCAUUUUCCAUCAAAGAAGAAAAAAAGGAAUUCCAUUUCACUUUUGCAAGAACGAUCGACAUUUACACCAUGGAAAUCGGGUGUUUUCCUUGUGAUUGCAUCCAGACUAACAUGAGGAAGUGUUGUUCGUGUUUCAUCGGCAAUUCAACGUUCGUUCCGGGGCUAUUUGUUGUUUGCGCAUCGGAAUCAGGUAAGUCGUCUUCCGCCGACUCGAAUUCUAACAUAAAUAAUGCUUGGGCUAACGGACAACGGGGACGUUGCUUGAGUCCUCUUGGUCGUGGAAAUUCCUUUCGACCAUUGUCCGUGUAAACCAAUCAAGAAAGCCGAAGUGAUGAGAUGAAGCGAGACUGUGAAGUGUCUAUAGAAGAGAGUUACCAAGUUAUUAUCUCGCCACACUUUCACUGAGAGAAUGACUGAUCUCGUGUCUAUCUAAACUUAAUCAUGCAUCAAUUAAAUAGUCACAACGUAACUUUUUAUGUUUCCCCUUAUGCCAUUGUAGAAAGAAAGUCAUAUCAACAGCCACACACAAGGCACACCAUACACCAGGAAAAAACGGGAAACAAUUAUGUUCAUGGAGGAUCGGAGAAUUAGUCCGGUGAAAUCGAGAUCAGGCCACAAAAUCUUACUCUUCCCAGUUCCCUAGCAAGGAUACAUAACUCCAAUGCUUCAGCUUGCCAACUUCCUCUUCUCUCAAGGCCUCUUCAUCAUCAUAGUCCACACCGACUUCAACUCUCCUACAUCCUCCGACUACCCUCAGUUUGCCUUCCAACCGACCCCGGACAGUUUGCUAGAGGGCCAGGCCUCGACCCUAGACUUAAUAGCUCUAAGGAUGCUGAUGAAUGUUACUUGCGCGGGGCCAUUCCAAGACUGGUUGACCAAACUGUUGUUCAAUGCUUCGAAUGAUUGGACUCUGUGCUGCUUGAUAACUGAUGCGUAGUGGCACUUCACUCAGGCGGUUGCUGACGAGCUUAACAUCCCAAGCAUGGUGCUGUGAACUAGCAGCAUGUCAUCUUUGCUUGCUUUCUGUGCAUUGCCGCUCAUGUGAGAGAAGGGUUACCUCCUGCUCCAAGGUAAGCGUCUUUGUUGGUAUCUGUGGAAGCUAGGUGUUUGAUGUGUGUAUGCACAAGUGAGUGUUUGUGUGUGUGAAAUAUGGCAAGGGAUCCACAAAGGAACAAAGAUCAAGAGACCAGUGAAUAAUGUUGAGGGAGUAAUGUUUACAAGGCUAGGUUAUGGGAGUAGAAAGGGAUAGUUCAUGGAAAGUGUUUUACAAGGUUUGAGGCGUGAGAAGAGGUUUUUGAACUUGGUUUGUUCAAUUUUAGAGAUUCCGCGGAAGCAUGAUUUUGGUAUAUAGUUUUUUAUUUUAAUGCGCAAGCGUGUGUUGGACAUGUUUGGUAGAGGAUUGACCAGAGGACAAGGGGAUAUAGGCUAUGGAAGAUAGUUUCAUUAAUUUAUGGAAAAUGGAAUAGUAAUGUGGUCGGAGAAGUAAUGGUGGAAGAGUACAAGAGAUGGAGGCUAUAUGAGCUCUACUCCUCACGCCAACUUACACGAGCGACUCAUUGCCAUUAAUGGGCAAGUUGCACCGAUUAAGUCACGGCCAGAGAUUUUUCUGUAUCGCUUAAGCCUCAGCUAGCUCUACCAUAGAGCUUCCUAAACCGACUUUCAAGGCAAUAUCUCUGUUAUUUGCAGGGAUGGUUUUGCGGACUUUCCUACGCAAGUCUAGUGGAUUCCAGACAUUUCUUUAGCCGGCUUGCUUGCUUUCAUUCGGCUUGACGAAGAAAUAUGUUUUUAGAUUUUGUUGACAAUGGAUCACCGAUUCCCCAUAUUCUUCCACAUUUCCCCAACACAGACCCCUAAAUAAAUGAACUUAGCUCUCUUAGGACACAUACUGUAUUUUACUAUGUGUCUUGUGUUAAAUCACUAUGUAGCAAAUUGGAAGAUUUGUCUGCAGAUAAUGCAAUUUCAAGCCAGGGCAUAAUUCUUUCUGAUGUAGAAGUUGUAUCUCAGAGUCUUCGUUUCAUUGAAUAUAUGCUGAUUAAGCCUUCAGUCACCAGCCUAUAAGGGUAUGCGAGGAUGGUUAUCUUCACUUAACUCUAAUGUCCUAGGAAUAACUAUCUUCCUGUUGAAGAAAAUAAAAAUACAAACUAUUACCAUCAUCAUCUUUUUGGUAGAAGCAAAGCCCUAGACGCCCUAGACGCCAAGGAUCGGACUGAUCUUUGUAGCACGUCAUGUGCCCACUGGUUCACCGAAAGUUAAGGAAACUAACUAUUGGUCAGGAGAGAGCCCGUGAGACUAAAUUGAUGCCUUCUUUAUGCAAAAUUUGCUAACCAAUCAGUGACAUUCAUUUUAUAUCACUCCAUGGCUUUCCAAUCAACUUGAAUCUAUACAGUCAGAUUGGAUGCAUUUGUUUGUGUUUGUGUUCAAAAAUUGUUCCAGGGAACAGAAAUAAAAACUAUUUAUGUUUUGGGGAAUAAUUUUUUACCAGAAAAACACGUUUGGUAAACUUAUUUUGGGAAUAAAAAAAGAACCGAAACACACUUGGUAAAUUUGUGUUCUUUUUUUGUUUUUUAAUUUUUUAAUAUUUUUUUUCCUUUUUUCUUUCUUUUUUUAAUAUAUCACUCCAUGGCUUUCCAAUCAACUUGAAUCUAUACAGUCAGAUUGGAUGCGUUUGUUUGUGUUUGUGUUAAAAAAUUGUUCAAGGGAACAGAAAUAAAAACUAUUUAUGUUUUGGGGAACAAUUUUUUACCAGAAAAACGCAUUUGGUAAACUUAUUUCGGGAAUAAAAAAAGAACCAAAACACGCUUGGUAAAUUUGUGUUUUUUUUUGUUUUUUAAUUUUUUAAUUUUUUUUUUAAUUUUUCCUUUUUUCUUUCUUUUUUUAAUAUAUCACUCCAUGGCUUUACAAUCAACUUGAAUCUAUACAGUCAUAUUGGAUGCGUUUGUUUGUGUUUGUGUUCAAAAAUUGUUCCAGGGAACAGAAAUAAAAACUAUUUAUGUUUUGAGGAACAAUUUUUGACUAGAAAAACGCGUUUGGUAAACUUAUUCCGGGAAUAAAAAAAGAACCGAAACACGCUUGGUAAAUUUGUGUUCUUUUUUUGUUUUUUUUUUUUCCUUUUUUCUUUCUUUUUUAUUUUUUUCUUUUUUUGGCCGGUCGCCAGCCUCGGCCAUGGUUGGCGACCGACCGAUGAGGGCCAGCGGCCUCGCCCAGCCGCGGCGAGGAUCAUCGGCCCCCGGCGAGGUCGAGCCUUGCCCGCAUCGGCGACGCUCGGCCUCGCCAAGGGUCGGCGAUGCUCCGGUGAGGUCGCUGGCCCUCAAUGGCAUCACCGGCCCUCAACGGCCGGUCGCCAGUCAUGGCCGAGGCUGGCAACCGGCCAAUGAAAAGAGAAGAAGAAAGAAGAAGAAAAAAAAAAAGAGAAGAAAAAAAUAGGAGAGAGAAAAUUUGUUCUUAAAAAUUAUUCCUGAAACAAGAAACAAAAAAAUAGGAGAGAGAAAAUUUGUUCCAAUUUUGUUCCCAUGAACAAAAAAACAGAUUUUGAACAAAAACGCAAAUAAACGUGUUUCUGUUCUUUUCUUGUUCUCGGGAACAAAAAAACAUAAUUUUUGUUCAUAAAAAAAAAAAAAAAGAACACAAAUAUGCAUGCCCACUGUCUCUCUCUGUUUGUGUUGUUUUACCCAGCAAGUUGUUGGAAAAAUAAGGAGAAAAAAUAUGGAGACUAUAAGUGCGAUAACUUACAUACAAAGCUCACACAUGAGUGCCUUGACUCCUUAAAAAAAGUUUAAUUGAGUGUCAUAACUUUCAAUUAAUCACUUGAAUACUAUGACUUUUUAAAAUGUUUGUUCAAAGUGCCAUGCCAUAGCAGAUUUCCGACAGUGAAAUGAACAUUUUUUAAGAAGCUAUGGUAUUCAAGUAAUCGAAAAAAAAGUUAUAACACUAAAAUGAUUUUUUUUAGAAGUCAAAGCACAUAAGUGAUCAAAAGAAAAUUAUAGUACUCAAGUGAGCAACAUACACAAAUUAUGAUACGUGGUGUCUUUUUUGCAGUUGUCAAGUAUCUAAUCACCCUAGAUAUUUCUAUUGCUAAUCAAAAAAUGGUUAAACAUGGAUAAAACAAUUUUCAUGAACCUUUGGAUGCGCAUCCAUCCCCAUCCGAUCUAGAAACCGGACCAAAUUGAAUUGAACUAGUUGGUGUUUUAGGUAGUUCUUGGGAGGACUGGUCUAGUUCUCGGUCUUGAAAAUUUGGAAUCAAGAAUAACUGGUCUAGUUCCUAGUUUCACAUAAGGAACCAGACUGACCGAAUCGCUCAAAUCUGAUGGAUGCACUAACCAAGAUUCCCUAAUUUUUUUUUAUUCUAAGCUAACCCUAGUUAGUAACUUUUUAUUUAUUUUAACAGUGGGAUACUCCCACUUGUAAGAAAUAGAAGAAAAAAAGAAGAAGAAGAAAUCACCGGUUUCAAAACUAACCUUGGAACCGAAUUGGACCAAGUGGGCCAGUUCCUAAUUGCACAAACUAGUAAUGACCUUGCAUGGUCCAAUUCCAAGUCCAAGGAACCCACCCUUGGAACCAGUCUCCCCCACAUGCACCCUUAUGCUCAAAUUGGCUUCAUUGUAUUGUUCUAUUUCUAUGCAAAUUAUUGAUGAAUUUGUUUCACGAAAAAUCAAUGUUUUGGAUUUUUUUUUAAAAAAAAGGUUGUUUGUAUCACUUAAAAAAAUGAAUGAAAAAUAUUUUUAUUUCCAAGAAAUUAUUUAGAUGUAAAUCUUUGUUGAUAAUGAAAAUAUCAUUUGUUGACUAAUUAUUUUUGCAAAUAUAUUUUUUAAAUUAUUUAUUUUUUGGAAAAUAGACAGAGACUCACAUUUCCAGGUGGAACAUGAUAACGGAGUCGCUUGGAAUAUUGAUCCUUGAGUUGCCCUAAAAGUCUGCAUACCUCAUUUUGAUAGUGGGUCCAACCAAUCCAACCAUAAGUUAUUAUAUAAAAUAUUUAAUUAACAAUAUUCGUCCCAUACGGCAUCCCCCUCAAGCAUCUUGUCAUUAUCUCUGGCAUUACUGUUUGCCAUUAUUAACAAAUAAGAUGCUUUUGGGCUUGUGGACAUUUGUGGUCGUGGGAGACUGAGAGUGCCGUAUCAAAACGAUAUUUUCAUAGGAAAAUGACAAAAAUAAUUUUCAAACUUUGACUCAAUAUUUAAUAUAAUUUAUAAAAUUUUAAUUUAUUUAAUAUGAUCUUUAAAUUUGUGGUACAUUUUUAAAUCAGUUUUCGGAUUAUACGAGUAUGUUCAAUACUGUAUUUAAAUUUAAAUUAAUAAAAUCAUAACAUUUGAUAUUUCCAUAUAAUUUAAGGAUUAGUGUGAAUAUUUAUUAAAAGUUCAAAGAUUACAUGAAAUAAAUUAAAAGUUUAGGGACAACAACGUACGUUGGACUAAAAUUCAUAGAUAUAUUGAAACAAUUAAAAAUUUAGGAGUCACAUUAUAUAUUGAGCUAAAAUUCAUAUAUCAUUUGUGUCAUUAGGAUUUUUUAUUUUUUUUCAUUUAACCUGAAUCUAGAUCACCUUAAUUCAUUUGUGUGAAAAACUGUAGAACAAUAGCUUGGCGAGUCACCGGUCAAGCUUAAUCGUUUUCUGCAUUUCCUUCCUCACAGAUUCCCGCUUAGAAGAAGCAGUGCCUGAACUUCCUCCGCUCAAAGUGAAAAGAAAUUCACGUUAUCAACACAAAAGACCCUGAGACCGACCUUAAGCUCAUCAUCACCAUGGCUGAAACCAUCCAGGCCUCUUCAGGCCUCAUCCUCGACUCCUUUGAAGAGCUUGAACUGACCAAACUGGCCGAAUGUCGCCGAUGCUUCGCCGUCCCUGUCUUCACGGUUGGCUCAUUCCACAAUCACACCGUAGCAUCGACAAGCAGCUUGUUGCCACAAGAUAGGAGCUCCAUUUCGUGGCUUGACAACCAAAACAAGCUUAAUUCGGUCCUCUACGUGAGCUUCGGGCGCCUCUCAAUAAUUGGCGAGGCCCAAUUCCUGGAAAUACCCCGGCAGCUCGCGAAUGGAGGACAUUGCUUCCUUUAGGUGGUCCGGCUUGGAUCAGUCCAGGCGUUGGAAUGGCUCGAGGCCUUGCUGAGCGGAAUCCUAGAUAGCCUGGACAGAAGGGACUACAUUGCGAGGUGAGCCCCGCCGCUUGGGGUCCUGGCCCACCCCGAAGUUGGCAAGUUUGGGUGCACAUCGGGUGGAACUUGACGCCAGAGACUGUCCACGAGACCGUGCCAAUGAUGUGCAUGCCCUUCUUCGGUGGCCAUAGGGUGAACGGGUUGCAUUUGGAAUACAAAGUGGAGAGGAGAGCGAUUGAGGAUGCGAUUAGGAGAUUCGAGGGAUAGGAGAUGAGAGCGAAAUUGAAGGCUUGGAAGAGGAUAGUGGACGAGUGCCUCCCGGACGCUGGUUCUUCAUAUCAGUCUCUUCAGGAAUUGACUUCUAGGAAACUUUUAGCUUCUCCAUUGAAAUGACAAUCUUUAUGGGAUUUACGGCCGGGGGCAACUGAACUACAGUUGGCGUAGUAUUGACUUGUUGAUCGGAAACUAAAUUGGACCACUCUUGUCACUCCCCUCCAUUGGGGGAUUUUAAUUGACAGGAUGAGUCCUUUAAUCUGCUGUCUAGUGGAAACAUAUUUUGUUGCAAUUUGACUCAUUGCGUCCGUUCAUAAAAUUGAAUGGUCUUAGAAAAAUCAAAUUCGUUCGCGCAUGAUCGCUUCCAAUCAUGGAUUUUAAAUUCCAUUUUUUUUCAAUUUACUUCUAAAAAAAAGCGUUGUCCAAGCAAUACAUUAGCCUAUAAGUCUAAACUGUAACAUUUAUGCUUAUCACUCCUGAUGCGUCCCAUACAACAUAAAUGAUAAGAUGACCUAUAUGAAUUCGAGAGUCGUGUGUAUAAUAUAUUGUUCCUCUACAUUGCCAUGCAUUGGAACAUCCAUGCAAUUUAACAUAUUUCACUAAUAUUUGAAAUAUUGCGUGUAUCUUAUACAUAUCUUUCCAUAUAAUUCUAGGGCUUAAUGACUACCAUUCCUUGUGUAUUGUAUUCCAGUAAAAUAUAGAAUUCAUUCUUUUGCAUAUGACUUAUGAAAACAAAUACAAUGAAGAGACUAUAUUCGAAAUGAUCGACAACGGUAAAAAUAUAUGAGCAUCAAGUAGGAAUAAAAUCGUCCAUGAUUUUCUGAUAGGGGGAAAGAGAAAGCAGCUUAUUUUGGAAAUCAUAGUGGAAGACCUUGAAAAGUUACAAUGGUGUGGUUCUAGUGCCUAGGAAAGUGUCUUUCCCCUCUAAUUAAAUUAAACAAAAGAUUGUCUCUAUUACUGUUCCCGUCUAUCUACCAUGUAUCGACAAAAUAAUCUAUGGUUUUUUAAAUGUAAAUUUGUAUUUAACUUUGAAUCUUAUAGCUAAAUAUAUUAACGAUUAUGAGAUUGAGACAUUAAAAGAAACACCGAUGCGUAUGUCACUUGAACUUCUGGAAUUCCAAGAAUCCUCCACUUCAAUUACAGAAGAAAUUUUGACCCCAAAAUAAUAAUAAUAAUAAUAAUAAUAAUAACAACAGAAGAAAUCACAAGACAACGUUGGACUUCUUCAGCUAGUGGGCUUCAUGGACCUUAUAUCCUCAAUCAAGCGGUCCAGAUUAUCCCACGAGGACCCACCUUCGCUCGCGGCGUUCCUCGCCCUCCUCGCCAAGUCGCCGGCCGCCGCUGCGAAUUCCUCCUGCCUCUCCCCCAUCACCUCGUUCACCAUCCUCUCCACCACCUCCCUGUCGCACACGUCCUUCAUGUCGAGCCCCACCUUCCACGCGUGGCUCACCAGCCGGCUGUUCACCUGCUGGUCCGCGAAGAACGGCCAACACACCAUCGGCUUCCCGGCGACCACGCUCUCCAGCGUCGAGUUCCACCCGCUGUGCGUCAAGAACGCCGCGACGGCUCCAUGGUGCAGGACCUCCUCCUGUGGGGCCCACCCCACGAUGCACCCCCUCUCCGCCGCCGCCUCCCUCAGCUCCUCCGGGACGGCGCCGCUGCUGCCUUCGGCGAGGGAGUCCGGCCGCACGACCCACAGGAAGCGCCUCCCGCUGUUCACGAGGCCGUACCAGAACUCCGUGAAGUCGUGUCUGUUGAGAGUCGCGAUGCUCCCGAAGCUCACGUAGAUGACCGACUUCGGUGGUUGCUUGUCGAGCCAAGCGAUACAACUACGGUCGACUUUCCAGAGACUGUUGCUUGCUGACGAUGGUGACGGCGACGACGAUGAGAGUCUGGAUCUCAGGUGCGAGUGGAGAGGGCCGAUUGUGUAGAGGUUCGGAAAUUGGGUUCGAAUCUGGGAAAUGGCAGGGCCCUCCAGUUGGUCGAAGGUGUUGAGGAUGAGGGCUCGGGCUGCGGUGGUCUGGAGGGUCUGAGUCGUCACGUACUGGAGGAACUGGUCGGAGAGGUCGGCGACUCGGCAGAAACUCGGCAGGUCUCGGCACCGGAGGAUGUCCUCCAUGCCCGGCACGCUCGUCACGUCACGGUCCAUGUCUUCGUCUCCUACAAAAUAAUAGAAGUCCAAUUGCUUGACGAAAUUCCUCAAUGAGUUUCACUCCAACUUCUUAUUUAUUUUGUACCCUUUGAACACCAUACCUUUAUUUCGAUCAAAAAUAAAAUAAAAUACCUUACUGUUUCGUCAAGCUUUUCUCAAAAUUGAACAGAAUCAAGAGGUUCAGGGAAUACUGAAGUGGGAGCAUUACCUUUGAGGGGAAGGUCGCCACUCUCAAUCAUGCGCGGAAUACAGAAACAAGCCCAGAAGGAACUUGCGCUUAUCGUCCGGAACGCGAUGACUGGAACUCCAAGGUCUCCAGCGAAAUCAAUGGUGAAGGUCAGGAUCCCGUCGGCAAUGAUACAGGUCACGGGCCGAUCUGGAGCUGACACCAACUCUUCGAACAGCUGCUUGGUUAUGCUCUUGACGUAAUUGAAUGUGGUCAUGAAGUGGUCCGGGGGCCUUGGGUGGUCUAUCGGGAAGCCAUCCGAUAUGAUCUUGAAUCGGAAGUCCGGGAAGGCAGCAAAAUGGGCUUGGAUGUGGGCAUGCCGGAGGAGGCGAUGGUGGAUGUGUUCGGAGUUGAUGAAGGUGAUGCGGAGGCCGGAGAUGGCGAGGAGCUCGGUGAGCUUGAGCAUGGAGUUCACAUGGCCUUGAGCAGCUAAAGGAAAGAUGAUGACAUGAGGAGGAGGAACAGGCGGUGGAUCCAUUGCCGUCUUUUGGAUCCUCUGAUUGGAUUCGUGUUCCACUUUGCUAGUGGAAUGGUUAGCACUUAUACCCUUACUCUUUAACGACAGAAAGGUUUGUUUUAUAGUCGUCAUCCUCUUACUACUGAGACGUGACUCAUACGAAACAAGUGUCUACAUUAUGUUCUUAUUAUUGAAUACGGUGAUCUUGUCUAAUUGUGGAAGCAAUGCUAGGAAGGGUUGCUGUCACGGGACACUGCUGUAAUGGGGUCUACUCUCAUUUCGCUGAGCCGACGCAUUGUGCUUUUUUCUCUAGAGGGUUACCUCUUCUUACAAUUCUAAUAUUAAAUGAGGUAAAUGGUGGGUGGGUCCAAUACUCUUUUAAAAUGGAAAAUGACACAAAUAAUCUCUAAAUGUUGGUUCAAUGUGCAAUGUCUAAUGAAUUUUUAAAUAAUUAAUUGUUUGGUAAAUGUUCAACCAUGAAAAUAGUUGAUGCGAUCCUCCUGUUAAUUCACGUUGUAAGUAGUUUGCUCAUACUUAUACACUCUUAUUGCCAAUUAGAAUAAAUUGGGAAAAUUUUGGCCAUUGAAUAUUUUUCCAAGAUUGAAUUUUAAUCUAUUGAAAGCCAAAUUUGUGAUUUUUUUUUUUUUUUUUUUGAGAAUGAAGUAAGGCAUCUAUUUGUAACCCUCUUGAAUCAAGCAACAAACUAAUUGACCGACUCAUUGUCAUAUUCAUAGAUUUUGGCCAAAUUAGAAAUCGAUAUCUCAAGUAUUGUUCUAUAAAAGUGAAAACGAAAUUGUCUAUCCAUCUCAACCCAAAUGCGAUUUGAAUUGGGAGAUAAAUUCAUAUACUAAGUAAAGGCAGUUUCUAAUAAAGACACAUGGAACAACCUAAGUCUAAGGAAUUCAUUUAUUUCUACCUCUCCACAUUAGGCAAUAAAUGACAGUUGAUUGGUCAUCUUUGCUAGUGAAAAUAGUGAAGUCAGGAGUUUUGAAUUCGCUUGGAUAAGGUGUAGUGUUAACCCAAUUAGGAUGUGGCUUCCUAUACUGACCUGACCAUUCCUCUAUCGGUACCUAAUUGUUGCAACACAAGUUCAACCACUUGACUAGGAUUCACAAUUUGACAUUUAUCCCGCCUCCUAGUUUCAGGGUAGAUAGAUGAAUAAACUUGGCAUUUUUGCUCCCUACGUUUAGGGUAGAUAAGAUUUUUAGGCUUUUAUAAAAUCCUCUUUGAUAAUGGAAUCGCUUGGCCUAAAUUAUUUCCACCAUCCAAUUGAUUAAGAGUUGGAGGAACAUACACGAAAGCCAUUAUGUUUUGUUGAAUCGGCAUGGACUCAUUGAAUGUCUUGAGCCUUGACAUGACAUCAUUGAUUGCAUUGAUGACUAUCGACCUAACCAUGUUAGAAAUAUGUCUUGCUAUGUGAUUCUUCAUCUUAUUCCCAUUGUUCACUUCAUGAUAACCACCAAAGUAAGCUUCCGUGCUAACUCUCUUAUCUGCUUCUCUCUAAAGUGCCACGAGAUUUUGAUGUUGCCUUCUUGGCUUGACUCUAUUGCUGGAGCAAUUCAGGUCUCGGAUUGGGUAGUCAUAUUGCUAGGGUUUGUUGUCCAUAGCAUGAUCAGGUUCUAGAUGAUUCCUUGUUUUUCAGCGUCGUAGUUCCUUAAUCGACCACACUCUUCCCAUCGGGCAUACAAAAAAGAUGUGCUGGAAUUUGACUCCACAACGAAAUAUCUUUCAUAAAAAAAGAGGAGAUGGUUUUGUGGCGAUUUUGGACAAGAAAUAUCAUAUAUAGAUAAUAGAAUGAUAACUUCAUUGUGAAAGGAAUUGAACGUACACAAAUUGUGUCGAAAUUUAAUCAACGACAAAGCUUGAGAACAUAAUUAACUUAAAUGGAACCAAAAGUACACAUAUUACGUCGAAAUUUAGUUGAUAACAAAGCUUGAGAACGUGAAGAUGCAAUGCCAGAAUUUAAUGGAUAUGAGGCAUCUGAAAUAUAUAGUAGAGAUACAUAUUGAAGUUUAACUGAUGACACUGAUAUAGAUACUAUAAUUAAGAAACACAUUGAAAUUUAAACAAAGUUUAUGACUAAAGUGCAAGAAUGGAAAGAUAACAUGUUUGUGUAUUUGUGUGCCACGAGCUCUAAAGGGUACCCUUUUAAUAUUACAAUUGAUGGUUGUCAACAGAAGUCAUAAAUGGAAGUUGCAAAUGGGGAUUGCAAAUACAGAUUGCAAAUGAUUAUCGAACAGUCACAAUGACUCAACUAUCUUGACAAUUUCUUUGACUUUAUGGUUGCUUUAUUUCAUUAAGAAACACACAAUGUGAAGAAACCCAUUGCAAAUAUAGUAAAGAAACACACUGAAAUUUAAGCGGAGUAUAUAACUAAAGUGCAGGAAUAGAAAGAUUACUUAUUUGUUUAUUUGUGUGCCAAGGGCUUCAGAGAGUACUAUUUAAAGUUACAAUUGACAGUUGUCAAGGGAGGUCACAGACGAAAGUUGCAAAGGGGAAAGAUUACAAAUGAUUAUUGAACAGUUACAAUGACUCAACUACCUUGACAAUUUCUUCAAUGCCACUAUCUUAAUGGUAGCUUUAUUUCAUUAUAUUGACAGUUGCAUCCGAGAUUGUCGACUCCAUUUUUUGUUAAUUUUUUCAAGUUGUCCAUGAUUCUGUCAUAAAUGACCAAACUUUACUCUUAUCAAUCUAGUCUAUUACAUUUUGAUAAUAAUUAGAAAAUUAGCCAUAUUUUAAAAUAUAAACGCGAGGUGAUGGUUUUUUUAUUUUAUCUUGGAUACAAGGUGAUAUUAAAUGAUGGGUUUUUGUCCUUGGAUCCUCGAAUAGGAAGGUCAUCAACAUGUAUAUUAUAUUAUUAUAGCCGUCGACCGUCGAUUUCCUCAAAUUUACAAUAAUGACGACGACGACAAGGACAGCGAUGAUACUAUUAUCAUUAUUAUUAUUAAUGGAAAAGAUUACAAGUCACAAUACCUAGUAGAUCACUAUAUCACCUACCUUUUGCAAGUCACCAAGAUACCUACCUUAAUAAUAAUAUUAAUAAUAAUAAUUUUAUUUAUGGAAAAGGUUACAAAGCUCUAAUCGGUUUCUUUACAAUCACCUUUUUUUUGAAAGUGAUGCAUAUAAUAAAUUUGAUCCGCUACAUUGCCAUUCAAUUGAACAAUUUAUGCAGUUUAUGGAAUUUCACUAGUAUUUAGAAUAUCUCGUGUAUCUUAUAUAUAAAUUUUUAUAUAAUUCUAUGGUUUAACCAUUGCCAUUUUUUGUAUAUUAUGUUACAAUAAAAUAUAGAAUUUCUUUUUUAUUUAUUUGUCUUAAACGAACAAAUCCAAUGAAGAGAUGAUAUGUGAAAUGAUCGAUCACAUUAUCGAUAGAUGAGCAUCAAGUUGUAAGAAUGAAAUCGAUGAUGAUUUUACAAUAGAGUGAAAGAGAAAGUACGUAUUUUGGCGAUCACAAUGGAAGACCUUGAAAAGUUUAAUGGUGUGGCCUUGGAGCCCAAGAAAGUACCAUUUCCUUAUAAUUAAAUGGAAAUAAAGAUUGUCUCCAUUAAUAUUCGCGCGUCUAUUUACCACCACAAUAUUAUCUAAAUAUAUUAACGAUGAUGAGAUUGAGACAUUAAAAGAAACACCGAUAAGUAUCCAUUGGUGUAUGUUAUUUGAACUUUUGGAAUUCUAAUAAUCCUCUACUUCAAAAACAGAAGAAAUCAGAAGACAACGUUGGACUUCAGCUAGUGGGCUUCAUGGACCUUAUAUCCUCAAUCAAGCGGUCCAGAUUAUCCCACGAGGACCCACCUUCGCUCGCGGCGUCCCUCGCCCUCCUCGCCAAGUCGCCGGCCGCCGCCGCAAACUCCUCCUUCCUCUCCCCCAUCACCUCGUUCACCAUCCUCUCCACCACCUCCCUGUCGCACACGUCCUUCAUGUCGAGCCCUGCCUUCCAAGCGUGGCUCACCAGCCGGCUGUUCAACUGCUGGUCCGCGAAGAACGGCCAACACACCAUCGGCUUCCCAGCGACCACGCUCUCCAGCGUGGAGUUCCAUCCGCUGUGCGUCAGGAACGCUGCGAUGGCGCCGUGGUGCAGGACCUCCUCCUGCGGGGCCCACCCCACGAUGCACCCCCUCUCCGCCGCCGCCUCCCUCAGCUCCUCCGGGACGGCGCCGCUGCUGCCUUCGGGUAGGGAGUCCGACCGCAAGACCCACAGGAAGCGCCUCCCGCUGUUCACGAGGCCGUACCAGAACUCCGUGAAGUCGUGUCUGUUGAGAGUCGUGAUGCUCCCGAAGCUCACGUAGACGACCGACUUCGGUGGUUGCUUGUCGAGCCAGGCGAUACAACUCCGGUCGACUUCCCAGAGACUGUUGCUUGCUGACGAUGAUGGUGGUGACGACGGCGACGACGAUGAGAGUCUGGAUUUCAGGUGCGAGUGGAGAGGGCCGAUUGUGUAGAGGUUGGGGAAGUGGGUUCGAAUCUGGGAAAGGGCGGGGCCCUCCAGUUGGUCGAAGCUGUUGAGGAUGAGGGCUCGGGCUCCGGUGGUCCGGAGGGUCUGCGUCGUCACGUACUGGAGGUUCCAGUCGGAGAGGUCGGCAACUCGGCAGAAACUCGGCAGGUCUCGGCACCGGAGGAUGUCCUCCAUGCCCGGCACGCUCGUCACGUCACGGUCCAUGUCUUCGUCUCCUAUAAAAUAAUAGAAGUUCAGUUGCUCGAAGAAAUUCCUCAAUGAGUUUCACUCCAAUUUGUUAUUUAUUUUGCACCCUUUGAACACCACAACUUACUUUAGGUCAAGCUUUUCUCAAAAUUGAACAGAAUCAAGAGGUUCAGGGAAUGCUUAAGUGGGAACAUUACCUUUGAUGGGGAGGUCUCCACUCUCAAUCAUGCGCGGAAUACAGAAAUAAGCCCAGAAGCAACUAGCGCUUAUCGUGCGGAACGCGAUGACUGGAACUCCGAGGUCUCCAGCGAAAUCAAUGGUGAAGCUCAGGAUUCCAUCAGCAAUGAUACAGGUCACGGGCCGGUCCGGAGCUGACACCAACUCUUCAAGCAGCUGCUUGGUUAUGCUCUUGACGUAAUUGAAUGUAGUCAGGGCGUGGUCGCCGGCCCUCGGGUGGUCUAUCGGGAAGCCAUCCGAUAUGAUCUUGAAUCGGAAGUCCGGGUAGGCAGCGAAACGGGCUUGAAUGUCGGCAUGUUGGAGGAGGCGAUGGUGGAUGUGUUCGGAGUUGAUGAAGGUGAUGCGGAGGCCGGAGAGGGCGAGAAGCUCGGCGAGCUUGAGCAUGGAGUUCACAUGGCCUUGAGCAGCUAAAGGAAAGAUGACGACAUGAGGAGGAGCAACAGCCGAUGGAUCCAUUGCGGUCUUUUGGAUGCUAUGAUUGGAUUCGUGUUCCCCUUUUAUAGUGAAAUAGUCGCCUCCUUACCCUCUCUUUGGAAGUGGAGAUGAGUUCCGGAAAGAACAUUAUUUUCUUCACUUUCAAGAGACCACCGCAAGACAACCGCACGACAAGGUCCGCUCCCUUUGGAACAAUUAUCAAAAAUAUGUUGGGAAAUGCGUAGCAAAUUCUCUAACGUAGGAUUUUUCUAACACAAUCCUUUUUUUUUUUGUGGUAAAAUUCUCUAACACAAUUCUUACUAUUGAACGAUUUGACAAUUUGACUAGAUUUAAGUAAAGCCCAACACCCUUACUUGUGAUUGACAACCUUGUGGGCUUAGAGUUGAAAAAGAAAAAAGAAAGAAAAGAAAAAAAAGAAAAAUUAAAAAGAAAUUGCAAAAAUUGGUCAUGUCAACAAUUUCUAAACAAAAUUGACUUGAAGGAUUACGAUGGUAAAUUAUCAAAAUGUUUAUAAUUGAAUUGGCCAAAUUGAAAUAUUUCGUAUUGAAUUGUUCGCCAUACAAAUAAAAUUUUAGAUUUUUUUUGGAAAUUUUCCCUGCUGUCUUGUUGAGCUUUUUCUUUCAUGUUAAUGGGAUAGUUAUGAAAUUUGCAGCUAAUGUAUCGAUUGCCUAAAGUUAUCAUGGCUUCCACGAGGAUACAGAAUGGCCGUUAGAGAAUCAUUCUCCGAUAAAAACCGGCUAAUGCAAAUACAUGCAACAAAUGACAGUUCUCUCCAUUAUGGCGUGAAAUGAGUGAUUCCGUGGAGUCGUGACGAUGUCUAGAAAAUUGUUGAGAAAACUAUGAAACUCAGUCAUGUAUGCUUUUUAAAAAUUGCCGCCGCAGGUGAAAAAACAUUCAUCAACCCAGGAUGGAGGCCGAAGGGUUCGAUUCCGUCAACUUUUCCUGCGAGAUAAUGACCUGAUCAUGACCACCCACGACACAGAAUCAUAAAACCGAUUCCGCUGGGCGAUUCUUAUCGGCUUUCUCGCCCUUUUUCUGACAAAUUCUUUGUUUUUAAGCCGCCGUCCUUAUACGACGCCACAUGCUGCGGCGUGUUCUUGUCCUCUGAGUUCAACCCCAACGCGUGACAGGCUGCCCUCAGAUUCCUGGUGUGCAGCUUGAUUAGGCGAAAGCUUAAAGUCGAUUGAGAUCUACGUUAGGCCAGAGACUUUCUUCAAGAUGUGAAUUCUGUUCUGAUGCAGGCCUUAGUCCCCUCGAAACAAUAAUAAUCGCGAAACCUCUGUGAUGUUGGAGAACUGAUCUUCCUUGGCAAGGCAGCAUAUUGACGGAUCAACAUGGGAUCAUCAUGGUAUGGCCAUGCAUCUGCUUGAUUUUGUCGAUUUUGCAUCAUUGCUGAUGGAAUGGAAAUUGGAAUGUUACGUAGCAGCAAGUUCAAGAACACGAAAGAGAAUCAGGGUCUAGUCAUCUUGCGUAAUGGAUGAUGUUUUUCUUUGGUAAGGUACGUAAUCGAUGAUGUUCCACGCUUUUGUCUUAAGAAUCUUUUGUAGCUCCACAGUAGGGAAUGCAAGUUUUUUUUUUUAAAUAAAAAAAUAUGAUCACGUGAUAUUCAAAAUAAAAAAUAUGAGAAAAUUAGGGAAGAAAUUAUAAUGUUUGCCCUAAAGUUCAUCAAGCUCUAAGCAUUUAAAAAAAUGCAAUAAAAUCCUCAAGAUUCUGUACCUGGUCGAGUUUCCUCCUUCCAGCAAUAAUUUACCAAGUUUUGUCGGUAUUGAUAUGCCGGAAAUCCAAUUUGGCCUUUUAGUACAAUUUCAGCAUACGCCUCGUGAUGCGGUGCCCGUGUCCCGGAGUUUAAACCCAGCAGGUCAAGGGCGGCCUUGAUUUUUUUUUUUUUACGAGGGCAGCCCUGAGUUUACUCGGCAGUUUUAUUACUUGACUGUAUAGACCACGAAAACACUUUUACUAUUGACAUCGCAUCACACGUGAAAAAAGUGUUUUAACUUUAUUUCCGUGUUGGGUUUGUGUCUUUCUUAACAUGGAGUUUUUUUUUUUUGGGUCAGAUUAUUAACAUGGAUCGACGGACCCUAAUUCUACAGAAAAACACCUUAAUUAUAAAGUGAGAAACGCUCACUGUGCCUGAUGAAUUUUGCUAUAACUUUAUCAUGUAUUAUUGAAGCAAUGCAAUGAAUGGUUGCUGUCAGGAGACAUCGCUGUAGUGGUGUCUACUCUCCUUUCUCUGAUUUAACGCGUUGUUUCUUAUUUUGCUGUGGUUUUAUUGUUGUUUCUUUGAAAGAAAAUUAUCUUUGGGAAUUUAUUUUUUGACUUUUAGUGUUUGGAUGAGGGAAAACUAAUCCGAUCUAUCGAAAACAUUUUCCAUGGACUGAAAAUAAUAAUUUUUUAUUGGGACAAAAUGAUUUUCUCUUCUAGUAAGAAGGGAGCCUUAAUCUUCUCUAAAAAUUUUAGUGAAAAUUUUUCAUCAUCCACAAAAAAUUUUGGGUAUAAAUUGUUGUUAAAAUUAAAACAUUUUUCAUUGACUAAUUAUUUCAAACAAUACAACUGAUCAAUUCUUGGAAAAUAUUUUUCAAGUCAUUUAUUUUUUUUAUAAAACAAACGAAGCUUAAGAAAAGUUUGUUGUGGAUGCUUAGGAGGUACUACAUGCUAAUGGCCUUAAAAACUUUGACAUCUUCAGUUAAGAAUGUAAUUUGCGUACAUCGACGGGAAAUUGUCCAAUCAGUCUAAACUUAUUGUAUGGAUGCCAAUUCAAUCCUAACUUUUUUAAUUUUGUCAAUCUAAUCUUAGACUUUUGUACAAAAUUUUGAUGUAAUCCCUCGAGUCAAUUUUUACUAGAAAUCGUUGAUGUAAGAGCGUGCCACGUAGAAUGGUCUACAAUGAUUAAACCAUCAUGUUGGCGAUUUUCUAACGAAAAUUAAUUGGAAUAAUCAUAUUUAAAUUUUGUGUAAAGAUUUAUGAUUAAAUUGGCAAAAUUAAAAAGUUUAUGAUUGAAUUAACAUCUGUACAAUAACUCUAAAGUUGAUUGGGUUCAAGUAGCAUUGUUGUUGUGCGGUCACCUCUCAAAGAUUGAAGGUUAGAACAUAUGAGGAUAUCAACACACCACUGUGCGGAGGCAAGGAUCCUUCCCUUCUAGUUUCAUGAUUUCUCUGUUUUAAUUUUCUCCCAAAUUUCUUUUCACCAUAAAAGUCUGGUGGUAACUUAAAUCAUCUUUUGUGCACCAGAUUUUAAAUCCGCCUUCUGAAUCCGACCAAAUAUAGGUCAUCCACAUUAGAAGAUUCGCACGGAAAUACUUCCUCGUGACUCACUCGGCUGCAAAGGACUACACCAAGUAUGAAUUGAAUUCGAGAUCUCAUGCCCCGAUUGAAAUGCAUAGUUUUGAUACUUUCUCUCUCUUUAUUCUAGCCACCACUAGAGGUAGCUACAUUUUCUUACAUCUCGAGUAUGUGUAUUUCAAUAAUCAUUCGAACUCGUGAUUCAAUUUUGAUGAGCUGCCCUGUUCUUGAUAUCCAGGAUCAACCUCUCCAGAUGGCGAUACGACAAGCCUCCGAAGCUCGAACUGGUUCUGGCAAGCUUCGCCAUCUUCUCUGCAGAAUCUCUGAUCUCACCGUCGUCCCGCCUCUCCGGAUCCAUCAGAUCUCUCACUGCCCUCUCGUUCGCAACUCUGUUGCACAUGUCUUUCGCAUCUGCCCUGUUCCGCCACACCUGGCCCACGAACCUGCUAUUCAGUAGCUGGUCAGCGAAGCAUGGCCAGCAGAUCAUGGGGAUGCCGGCGGCUACGGCCUAUAGGGUCGAGUUUCACCUGCCGUGGCUCAGGAAGCAGACGAUGGUCCAAUGCGCUAGGACCUUGUCUUGCGGUGCCCACUCCUCUAGAUACCUAUUGGGAACACGCGACGCGAUGGUGAGCUAUUUUCAGAAGCGAUGCAUUGAUUUUUAGCAGAGAACUGCCAGCUCAGUAUAACAAUGGCGGAAAGUAUCUGUCACUAAAGUUUCAUAUGAUGAGAAAGCUUAGCUAGAUUCCUCAUGAGAAGAUCGAAAAUUCAACGGUACCCCCUCUCGCUCGUUGCCUUCGCGAGCUCAGCAAGGAUCCGGUCACUGCCGUCUUGCUCGGCCACCGAGUCUGGCCUCAAGACCCACGAGAAUCUCACCCCACCGUUGACCAAACCGUGCCAGAGCUCCAUGACCUGGUCCCUAGUGAUCACCACAAUGCUCCCGAAGCUCACGUAAACCACUGACUUCGGCGGCUGAUUGUCGAGCCAAUCCAUGCAGCUUCUAUCCUCUCUCAAGAUCCCAUUAUUUCUCGAGACCAGCACAUUGGCUCUGGCCGCCGUUAGUCUCAAUUUGAGAUGGACGUGGAGGGGUCCGAUGGCAUAUAGUUCAGGAAGUGAGCCUCUCCAUCACGGUAUCGAUAAAUGGGCAUUAAGUAGUGGGAAUGAAAUUGUUGACACCUAAUUUAGAUUCAAUUUUUAGAAAAUAAAAGAUUAGAGGGAAAUUUUGAAAAGAAAUUUUGAAUUCAAAAUAAUUCAACAGCCGGAUUUUGGAGCCAUUUCUUUGUUGGAGAAGUUGAGCGAAAAUCUCCACCGGCGAGAGGUUGAGCAAAAAUCUCUACCGGCGAAACAAACUCGAAUUUUCGCUUUAUAAAUAGAGGGGUUCUUCUUCACCUUGGAGGGGGGCUUCUCUUCAUUGUUCGUCCAAAAAAUAGCAAAUUGAAGGAAAAAAAAAAAAGAGAAGAAGUACAGUGGCAGAAAGUGAAUGGGGGAAGUCUUCGAGAAAAUAUUAGGUGCGCCCGGCGCUCCACGUCACCGUGCGCCCGCCCAAUGAAGAGGCGACACAUGGCUCCACGUGGAGGCGGGCCCACCAUUAUUUUCCGUCAAAUUUUUGCACCCCUUCCCACUCUUCAUUAAAUGCUUCGGUCUUCUGCCGGGCCCACCAUCACUUUUGAGAGAAGGUUUUGCAUCCCCCAUCUCUCUCUUCAUUAAAUGCUUUAUCGUUCUCUGCACACUUCUUCUCCCGCUCGCACGAAGAGCGCCCCUUCCCCUCUCUCUUUCAAAAAUUUCUCUCUGUUCUGCAUAUUUCUCCAUCAAAGCCGCAUGACGCCCGCCCUCUCUCUUUUUCAAAAAUCUCUCCCUCCCAAAAGCCCGCUCGUCGCCUACGAGCUUGGCUGCCUUCACCGUCGCCGUCGCCGCCAGGAGCCACUCGCUCCCUCUCUCUCUCCUAAGAGCCCCGCCGGUCGUAGCUAGGUCUUGAGUUCGUCGCAGUUGCCUUGCGGUCCUAACUCCAGCUGCUCGGUUUCAUGUGGAGCAACGGCGGGCACGGACGACGAUGAUUUGGUCGUCCUUGGUAUGGAAGCGAGCUGCGACGACACCGCGGUUGCUGUUGUGAACGAUCUCUUUCGCUCCUAAGAGCCGCGCCAAUCGUAGCUGCCGAGUCCCGACCUCGACCUCUGACCGCCUCCGCGUCUUGGUCGUGGUCGCCUCCGGUCCUAACUCCAGCUCUUCGGUCGAGGUUCGGAGGGUCCGAGGUGGGGAACAGCGAGGGGUUGGUGAGCUUGGAGAGGGAUUUGAGAAGCCAGUUCUCGUCCUCCUCGAAGAAGAGCUUCGAGUCGGGGUUCUGCUGCUCGUCAGUCGGGGGGGACAGUGGUUGCUGGUCUGGGUGGAGGCCGGAGAAGAGGAGGCACGGCUCCUCAGCCGCGGGGACAUGCAACCUGCCGACUUCAAAAUCAAAAGAUCGGCACACCGCCUUCAAGACAAUCGGAAGAGUGUAAGAAUCCGGCGGAACGCGCGCCCUCGCCAUGAACGCGUACACGAGCAGCGCCUUUCUCGGGGCGUCUAGCCUCGCGUACGCUCUUAUGAUGUUCCAGUGGAACGCGACGGGAUUCGAGUCCAACAAGCGGGAGCGGAUCACGUGGGCGUGUAUCAGGCUCAACCCUCGCUUGUCACCGCAUUCGGACAAGAGGGUCGCCACCAUCUUGGCGUGGGCUUGGGUCGAGCUCGGCGAAUCGGGCUACUGUCGAGAUUGCGUGAGGAGGGAAGCAACGGAAGACGCAUUGGCUUCGUGGAUGCCGCCGUGAUCGAGAGCGCAAGAGGUCCAGAGCCGUCUUCUUGAGCUGAACUUGGAGAGCCCACGUUGAAGGUGGCGAAACGAGAUCAUGCGCUACACGAUUUCAGCGCAGCGCUCUUGAGUCGGAAUAUGCAAUGUAUUUUAUGUCUUUGUACUUUUGUUUUCAUCGGCCUAAGUUGUCGAUUCCAUGUGAAGCAUUACAGUUUUAAGGGAUCAUAAAAUUAAAGAAAGAGAUGUUUGCCGAGAUCAAGAUGGACGCAUAAGCACAAAUGCUGGAUAAAAACUCCAUGAAGCGUAUUGGUUUUCAAUGGAUCCAUGAGCAGUCGAAUAAUCAAUGUGUAAGCGCAACGGAGAAACUGAAUUCUUAAGAAUGAAAGGAAAACAAGAGAGAAAGGUAGGAGAAGAAGAAAUGGAAAAUUAAAAUUGAUGAGAAGCAAAAUUAAGGCGACACAAAUGCGGUCUAUGCAGCUAUGUGAGAAGUUCUCAAACUUCUGGCCUGGACAUCUAAAGUUGAGUAGAAGCAAAACAGGAAAAGGCAAAUGGCGCAGCAUCCAAUUUGAAGAACACAUUGCCCAAUUCAGAUAGCCACUAGAACCGAGGCUUUGAAUCGAUUGUGAAACUCAAGUUUUGUCCUCCUACUACACACUGCAAAAUUGCUGGAGAAGGGCUCGCUGCAUCAAUGCCGGCUGCUGCUGCUGCUUCUUCCUAUAGAACUGUUGGUUCCACCUCCCCAAUGCUUUGAAAACCAAUCCUCAAUCCUUGCUGGACGCGCCCGGUGAGCUUUUGGGUGUCGGCGAUCACCGAGGAGGCACACGCAGAGAAGGUUAGAGCUUGGGACGCAGCCACGACCGGCGGGGCUCUUCGGACCGAGUAGCACCUGGUGGUGACAGCGGAGGCGAUCGAGCUUGGAGGCAAGCAGCGGACUUUUGGGUGUCCACGCUCGCCGAAGAGGCCAAGGCAGAGAUGGUCGGGACCCAACCACGAUCGGCGGGGUUCUUGGGAGUGAAUGGCUCUUGACGGCAACGGCAGAGGUGGCCAAGCUAGGAGGCGACCGGCAGAGGUGGCCAAGCUCGAAGGCGACCGGCUGGAUUUUGAGCGUACGCGAUCGUCGAAGAGGCCGAGGCAGAAAUGGUCAAAGCUUGGGACCCAAACACGACCGGCGAGGCUCUUCGGAGCGAGUGGCUCCUGGCGACGAUGGCGGAGGCGGCCGAGCUCGGAGGCGACCAACGGGCUUUUGUGUGUCCGCGCUCACCUUAGAGGCCGAGGCGAAGAUGGUUAGAGUUCGGGACCCAGCCACGAUCGGAAGAGUUCUUCGGAGCGAGUGGUUCCCGACGGCGACGGUAGAGGCGACCAACCUUGGAGGCAACUGGCGAGCUUUUGGUCGAGAGAGAUGAGGUUGCAGGUUUCAUGGAGAAAAAUGCAGAACAAAAAAUUUUGAAAGAGAACGCGAGGGGAAGGGGAAGGGACGGCUUGCGUGCAAAUAGGAGAAAAGGACGCAGUCAUUAAUGAAGAGAGAGAAGGACGCGGCAAAAAUUUGGCUAAAAGAAAAGGCGGGACCCGGCUCCACGUGGCGACACAUGUCGCAUCCUGAUUGGGCGGGGCGCACGGUGACGUGGAGCGCCGGGCGCACCUAAUAUUUUCUCGAAGUCUUCGGUAGAGAGUGAGAGAGAGUGUCAGGUGAGAGGGAAAAAGGAAGAGUCAAGAGAAGGAAAACAGCAGAAAAGUGAAAAAGAGAAGAAAAGUUCUGCGGAAAGUACAAAGAGAGAGGAGAAAAGGUCAAAGUAAAAGGCAAAGGUGAGGGGACGUUUACUGUUCAUCGUCUCCCUCACACUCGCCGAUUCCGCUUUGCCGCUCAUCAGCUAGCCGCCCUGCUGCCGACGCCAUUCUCGUCCGAGC